rnacentral:rRNA from 1 species
UGUGUUAAGUUCUCACAGGAGACUGCCAUGCGAAACGGUGGAGGAAGCGGGAUGACGUCAAGUCCAGCACGGCCCUUACGCUCUGGGCCACACACACGCUACAAUGGGCGGUACAGCGGGUUGCCAAGCCGCGAGGUGGAAGCUAAUCCCUAAAAACCGUCCUUAGUUCGGAUUGCAGGCUGAAACCCGCCUGCAUGAAGUCGGAGUUGCUAGUAACCGCAGGUCAGCACACUGCGGUGAAUACGUUCCCGGGCCUU